GAAUCACGUGGAUCACGAUGUAAGCAAACCCCGGCGGAGUGGCUUCAUUCAGUGGAGUAAAAUCCAGGGAAUUUUGUCAUGUUUCAGCCAGGGACAUGAAAUCUAGCUCAAGAUUAAUGAGGAUAUCUUGGACAAUAUCUCCCUUGGUUGUGAGGGAGCGAAUGUUCAGGAGACCGAAGUUGACAGAUAUGCGGGGGAGAUUGUUAGCCAUCAUGUUGUUAGCCGAGCGAAGAGGAGCUAGGACACUGUGUGUUAGCAUGGCGACUGGUGUGUCUUGACGGACGGUGAGCAGAUGACCAGAGUGACUUGAUGGAGUUGGUGUUGUCGUAAUGGAAGUUCCGACGUGAUCCUCGAUUAGUUUAUAUCUCCGGCGGGGCACGUAUAAUGUCUAGAAUCGGAUAUCAUGUUGGAGGAGCUAACACGCGGCGGUGGCCCGGGCGGAGAGUACCGCGGGUUAGCAAGUUCAUCAGCAGAGUCGUAGUGCUGUCAAAAUUUGCUGGACAAGUGACAGGAUAAUCCAGAAACAACAUGCCGGACUGUCAGAAGCUCAGGAAGAAGCUGAAGAAGAAGAGAGGGCAGAGAGCGUAUGCCUGCCAGUGCAGCUGGUUCUCUGCUUCAGAGCCUGCUGACCUCAGGGAUCAGCCUCAGCUCCGAUGGGUCUGUGGCAAACACCCGGACUGACUGCUCACCUCAAUCUACUUUCUAAACUCUCCAUCCAUCCAUUUAUCCAUCCAUCCUUCAGACGUCGUUGUGAAAGGAAGAACUUAUCCUUGGCCUCUAUUGUCAGCAAGACUUAAAACAUUGUUUUCCAUCUAUCUGUCGAGGAGGAUUCUUGAAGCAUUUCCAGACUGUACAAAAAAUCUGAAUCUGUGCAUCUCACACCCAUUCAUUGAUGGCUGAUUUCAAAAUAUCUCUUCCUGCGUCUUCCUCUUUUUGGAAGAGGUAUUUGGACACAAAUAUCUGAAACUUCAAACUUUCUGAAUAUUUUGGACUGCUGCCCAACUGUGACACAUUGUGAUUUUCUACUCCUGCUCUUUAAACAAAUCUGUCUCCUGCCUGUACUGGAAUAAAAUAUAUUUGAUGAGGAACAUGAAA